rnacentral:rRNA from 1 species
UACGUAGGGGGCGAGCGUUGUCCGGAUUCAUUGGGCGUAAAGAGCUCGUAGGCGGUUCGAUAAGUCGGUUGUGAAAACUCUGGGCUUAACCCAGAGAUUGCAUCCGAUACUGUCGUGACUUGAGUCUGGUAGGGGAUCACGGAAUUCCUGGUGUAGCGGUGAAAUGCGCAGAUAUCAGGAGGAACACCAGUGGCGAAGGCGGUGAUCUGGGCCAGUACUGACGCUGAGGAGCGAAAGCGUGGGGAGCAAACAGG